rnacentral:misc_RNA from 1 species
GCUUUUGAGGUUGCCCCGGAUAAGUUCGCCCGGGCAGGGGAUUCAUUUUUGACCGAGGCGGGGGCGGGUGCGUGAUCCCCUUUCGCUCACCUCUCUCGAGUGUCUGUUCGUGUUUUCUUUUCUUUUCUUCUUUUUUUUUUUCCUUUUUCACCGGUUUCGACUGGCUCAAAAUCCUGCGCCUCCCUGGACGAGGGAAUAUAAAGAAAUCAACGAGCGACCGUAGACCGGCUCUCGGGCUGUCGUCUGCUGCAAAAUGUCAGGAGAUGCACAGCCAAGGAAAAGGAGAGACAAACGAAGGAAAAAAGGACAUUUGGACCAACGACGUACCGAAGAAUAUGCUGAGGAAAGGGAGAUCAUAAGGAAAUUGAGCUGUGCUGAAGAGCCAGAUGAAGAAGAGAUUUUUGCAAAAUAUACACACCCUACUGAUGAAAUAGUUCAUGUACAUAAAGAUGACGGAGUUGGAGGCAAUGUCUUUACCAAGUUGAUAUUUUUCUUGCUAUUAGCAGGAAUAGGUGUUGUAGUUGGGCUGACGCUGAUAGAAUAUCGAGGAACCACUGAUGAAGAAGCUGGUUUGGUAAAAGAUACACAAUGGGUAGCAACAGUUCAAGAAUGGGUCUCCAUGGUACCAUUUUAUGGCGAAACAGAACAAGAAAGUCAUGCUUCCGAUGAACAUGAAGAACUAGAUGAACAUGACCAAGACGAUCAUGAUCACAAUGAACAUGAUCAAGACAAUCAUGAUCACAAUGAACAUGAUCUAGAUGAUCAUGGCCAUGAUGAUCAUGAUCAAGAUGAGGGGGAGAAGUCAAGUUGGUUUAGUCUCGAUUUUAGUAGCUUCGGUUGGGAAAAUAAAGAGACAGAGAGUUCUGAUGUGGAUGAAACUCCAUCAAGCUGGUUUAGUUGGGAUUUCAACUUAUUAGGUAGUUCUGAGAAAGAAGAAGGUGUCGAGAAACAGGCUUCUGGUGAAGAUGAUAACGAACUAGAAGAACAAGUGUCAGAAGAACUUGAAGAAGAGGAAGAAGAAGACAAUCUUUCUCAUGAUCAAGAAGUAGAGGAAGAAGAAGAGGAGGAGGAGGAUGGUGAGAAUGAUGAUCAGGAUGAGGAAGAGGAAUAUGAUAAAGAUGAUGAUCAAAUUGUUUCACAAGAAGAAGAUGAACAAGAAGGGCUUGAAAAUUUCUCUGAGAACCAGGAAGAAGAAGAGGAGGAAGAAGAAGAACAGGACCUACCAUUAGAAGAGGAAGAAAAUGUUUCUCAAGAAUAUGAGAAAGAAUUGUCUCAAGAGGAAGAUAAUGAAGAAGAAGAAGAGGUAGAACAAAGCGAGGAGCAAGAAACUUCCAGGACCUUCCUAGCAAAAAGUUUAAACAAAAUGGAAGACAAUCAAGAUGUUAGUGAGGAAGAAUUAUUUCCAGAGGCAAUUGAGGCUCUUAGAAGAGAAGCUUCAGAACUUUUAGAACAACAAGCAAAAUCUGAUAAAGAAGAGGUAGAGAAUGAUGAUGAAGAAGAUGAAAACAGAGAAGAUGAAGAAACAGAAGGAAUGGCUGUAAAAUUUGGAGUGGGUGUGGCUCUUAUUGUUGUCGCCCAUGUAGUUCUUGUUAAGAAAUGGAACAGUUGGGAAGAAGGGCAUCUCACAACUGAAAUGCCACAGAUGGUGGCAAGUCCACCAUCUCCUCCUGUUGAAGAACCUCCACCAUAUUCACCUCCAGUUGAGACACCGGCUACAGCUUUCAGUGAGCCUUCAUAUUUUGCAGAAUCUCUCACUCCAGAACCUAAAUUGCACCCAGAGGAGGAGGAAGAAUAUGAGGAAGAAGGCGAAGAAGAGGAAGAAGAAGAGAUGAGCGAAGACGAAGCGCCAAUCAAUCCAGACGUGUAUGAAAAGAUCAUCGCUAAGUAUGGCCAGCCAUCCCCCGAGAGCAGUGAUGUAGAGCAGUCUGACGAUGGUGACGGCCAAGAGUAUUCAGAUGGAGGAGAUGCUGAAAGUGUUGGCGAAGAGGAAAGUGGAAAUGAAGUAGAGGAAACUGAUCCAGAAGAUGAAGAGGAUGAAAAGCCAACAACAUUGAAAACUUCGGGAAAAGUAGAAGAAGAAUCUGAGGGAGAAUACGAAGAAGAAUCAGACGAUGAAGUAGUGCAAACUCCUGCUCCGAAACUUCAACCAACGCGUGGAGGAGGACCCAGGGCAACUGAAGAAGAGGUGUAUGUUAAUUCUGAUAUUACAAAUGAGGAGGAUUGGAAUGUAAGGCAGGAGCUGGACAUGGCAGAUGAGGAAUUUAACUUAGAACAUUUGGAUAAAGCAUUUGCGAUAUACGAGAGCGUGCUAAGAACUAGGCCUAAUUCCCCUCGUGCACUUCAUGGAAAAGCUCAAAUUCUCGAUAAACAAGCAGAAAUGAAACGGAGCAAUGCAAUACUACAGGAAGCCAUCCAAACUUAUUUAAUGGUUGUCAAUCAACCAAAAGUUCCUCCGACCCUUUUAAAAUUGGCAGCAUUAAGGUGUAUCAAUAGAAUAAGAUUUAGAGGACAAUACAUGCAAUCAAUUCCACUGCACAAAACUUUAAUAAGCACGUUUAAAAAUGAACCCGAUUAUCGAAACGACAUGGGCAUCACCUACCUUAUGGUAAACAGACUUCAGGAAGCUGGUGAUGUUUUCAAAUCAGUCCUUGCGAUAUGGCCUAAGGAUGCCAUGGCGAGAUCACAUUAUGGCCUUGUUCUUAAAUUGCAAGGAAAAAUGAAAGAAUCUAUUCCUCAUUUGAAAGAAGGCCUUUUGGCCGACAUUCCUGCUACUAGAGAUGCUAGGCUUUACUUUCAUCUUGGGGAUGCGCUGGCUCGAACAGGACAAUCAUCAGAGGCGAUGGAGCUUUGUAAGUACAUUAAUCAUAUGAAGUGUACUUUGAUCAUUGAAACUUCCAUUGUGGUCGAAGGUGUACUCCAGAGGAGUUGAAAAGGGCAUGUUCAGGUCCAAAUACCAGCGAUCGCUCUACAACAUCGACAAUUUGACAGCAAGGCCUUGGUGGACUCACGAACAGACCACUUACCAGAAUUUCUUCAAAAAACUUGAAUCCAAUUGGAAGAUUAUUCUUAAUGAAGGUUUGGCCGCCCUCAAAUCAAGAGGCGCGUUU